UUAAUUGAAACCAAAGUAGCGGUAUAUUACUGUUAAUAAUAUUAGUGAAAAACCUUUUUUCCAAUUAAG
rnacentral:tRNA from 1 species